UGCCUCAUUUCAAUUUAAAGCUUAAAAAUUGUGGCUUUCACUUUAUUUGGCUGUUCAUUUUUUUUUUUUUGCGGCACACCAGCUGGUGGGGGAUUUAUAAGCUAUACAGGAGGGCUGACAUGGAUUUAAAUAUUGGCUGUCCCUCCAUCAUUUUGCUUUGAGGACACUGCAGACUGGGAAAAAGGUGGAGACUCCCACUAUAGCUGACUGGAAGGUGGGCUCCUGCCAGACAUGCAAGAGAGGCAUCACUUCAGCGGCUGCUGAGAGAUAAAGUAUAAAUAAACACAAGAUGUACAGGAAGCUGGAGUACGAGGCCUGUGGUGCUGAGAGAAAGCCUGUGAAUCCAUCUGACACUCAGGACCAUGACACUCAGCUCUUACUGUGGUGACCUGGGCUGGAUCCCUGGGAUCCCCAGGGCUGAAAGAGAACCAAUGUCCACCGAUGUCCAAACUGUCCUCUGACUUCAACAUGAUCGCUGUGGUGUGCACCCCCCCCCCCACACACACACACACACUGAAUUAAUCAAUAUAAUUAAAUGUUUAAAGAAAGAAAACACCUGAGACCAUCACCUUGGUGGCCAAGAAGAAUUGUGCCGGUCGGUGCCCAGCCAAGACAGCCAGGCAGGUGACAGAGGGGCCAUCUUGAUUGAGGAGGGGCCCUCCUAGGUCAUGGCUCCUGUUCCUGGAGUUCUUCCUUCUCUUUGCCCUGAAUGCCCUGUCUCCUUUAACCCUUUCUUCUCUCAUCUUCCUCCUGGAGGCCUUAAAGGGCCUACAUUCUCUCCUUUUCUAUCUCUCCCUAUCCACCAACCUACCGGAGUUCCCCAAAAGCCCUUUUUAAAGAACAGGAAGCGUUAACACGAUAAACACUGUCAUUGUCAACAACAGUAACUUAGCUAAGUCAGAAAGGUCGGGAAUAGCUGGGGAAUAGAAAACCUUGGGCCUGCACAUUCCGGUCUGAAGAAAGAUGGCAGCAGACUAAAGCAAGCCGGUGGGUAAGGGCUCCAGAGACCCUGCUGGCAAGUACUGCCUGCUCCCUUCCUGCGCCGGCAUCUUGAACCCCAGUUUAGAUCUGCUCAGUUCUUAUCCUAACCCCAACCUGACAACCUGGUUCAAGGCUUCCGAUUGCCUGCUGUCUGUGUCUCGAACCCUGAACUUGCUGCCUGGCAAGAAAGUGUGGGGACAAUUCUGUUCCAGUCUUCCUGCCCUGAAAAUUCAAUUUGGGCCUGGCAGGGAACCCCUCCUGCCCCUCAACAGGGGCAAAGCAGCUGUGAAGCGUUGGAGGAGUCACCUCUCCCAACAGCACCCACAGCUCUCCCAGGAACAUCUGGGAUCUGUCCUUUCUGUUUUCCUUAAGUGGCCUGUGACAGUUCUGUCCCCCUUUCUUCCAUCAAUUCUUCACUAAUAAUACAAUCGCCCGGAUAUAAGCAACUGUCACAGGUCCGAUUUGUACACACACUGUCUGCAGUCCUUGACAGCAUCCCAAUUUGGUAAGGAUAAUCUCCAAGGACAGAUAAAGAAAAGUCACUUCCUCAAAGCCCUGCAGCUAAGGCACAAAGACAGAUAAUACUCGUUCCGGGUCUGCCUACUGAGUGAGUACUCCCUCUGUCCAUUGCCUGCGGCCCACUAGGCAGCGGGCUGGGCAGCGGCCUGGGCAGCGGCGCAGUGUCAUUCACUGAGCAUGCGCCAUAUACGUAGGGCGCGAUGGACUAAGUGUCCACUAGAGACUGGAGUCCCAGACCCUCCCCUUACGGGAACAAACCACUGAGGGAGACAAAAAACCCCACAGGAAGCCGAGGGAAAGCUGCCUAGGCUGUAAGGAGAGAAUAGACCCGUGUGAUCUGGACUUUGGAACAGGGCGGGAAUGCUGGGCAGGACAGUGAAUCGCUGAAAGGGAAGACCCCCCUCACAAGAGGAGAAGGCUAGAAACAGCCCCAAUGUCUGAGCAACUCCCUGAGGGCAUCCAGAAGCUGAGAUGGGAACCCUUUUAGGGGAGGACAGAAAAGCAGUCUGAUGUUGGGAGGCAGAGAGAGGAGACCCUUCUGACUGUGCUGCUCCCCAUGUGUGCAGGCGUGCAUGGUGUGCAAGUGCAUAUGUGUCUGCAUGCAUAUGUGAGUGUGUGUGUGUGUGUGUGUGUAUGACAAAAGUGUUCUUAAAGUUCCCCAAAAGUUAGUUUGGCAAACUUAAAAUUAACUACAUCUAGAAACAGUGGCCAUUAGUAGGAUGAAAAUAAAUAUUGAGAGUUGGUUGAAGCUAAUUUUGCUCCAGUCACCUUGGCUUGAACAAGGUGAAAGGAUUGUAAUUCAGAUUUUAGAAAAAUUAGUCAGGAGAUGGGGGAAGUUCAGUUUUGGUGGCCCGAGAAGGCACAGGUCUCACCACUGAUUCCCAUUAUGAUAAGAGGGUUUUCCCCCUUUCUUUUAAAAUCACCGCCUGAGAUAAAGAACUUUUAGGGGACCUUCCAAAGUCAGUGCUGUGUAAGAGGGCAGUUUAAAGAAAUAAGAUUCCACCCAAGGCCCAAGCCCUUGGCUUACCUGAACUUCCAAUGCUGAGGCAAAGAAGUGGGCCCCACAGCCAGAAGCACGCCUCCCAGAAGCCAGGAUGCAUCGCCGGGCUGGAGUCGUGGAGUCAGCAUGAAGGAGAGUCCUAAAGCCUGGGAUGUCACAUAGUCCAGCCUCCCAGCAAACACGCAACACCCACUGGGACUUAGUAAUCGUUAACUGGCUCCGUGGCUUGUAAAAUAAAUAAAUAAAUCUUCCUAUUUGUUUAA